CACUGAUUGUGCCGAAAACAAACUUCCCUUUGAGAAGUGCAUUUUCUUCCUGCCACUGUCACCUGGCAGCUAAGGGAUGUGAGAUUCUCCUCCAUUGCGUUUCUGCCCACGGAAAUAGACGAGACCCCACACUUCAGUACCUUUGGAAAUAAAAGCAACCUGGAAACAAACCAGCUGUCUCCUCA